rnacentral:sRNA from 1 species
GCGCUGUCCCCCGGAGGCGUCUGGGUGUGCGGAGCGCGCGCGCGCGCGGCUCGGAGGCGCACCUGUGAGGUGUCCCUGAGGAGAGGGAGGUGGGUGCGCGGCGCCCGCGGCCUGGGGCGCUGACUCCCCUCACUUGGAGGCGCCCUGCGUCCGGCAGAGGAGGCGAGCAUCCCCGCUCAGGUGAUGAGGAACCCCUCGCGCACCCAGCGCAGAAGGCUGCUGCCGCCGGACGCCUCCAUUGUUUGACCACAACAAGGGCCGGAUUCUCACCCAGACCUGCAAAUCCAAGAGACACAUCUUUGGAAGAUAAGAGAGCUUCUUCAAGACCAAAAAAGGAGACGGCAUGAUACCCAUGUAGGGAAUUCCCCAAAGCAGGGCUUGCCAUACCUGGACCCCGAGGAGCCUGCUUGCUGGAAAGGCUUUCCUGUCUGAUGUGCAAGAGGCAGAAUGCCAAACUGACUCUUCAAGGGGCAACUGCAGGGGCUCGAGACCAGCCAGCAGUAUCUCAUCCUUCGAUACAGGGCAUAUACUGUACAGUCCUUUUUCUAGAAGUGAGACGUACAAGAUU